UACGUAGGUGGCAAGCGUUGUCCGGAUUUAUUGGGUUUAAAGGGUGCGUAGGCGGUCUUUUAAGUCAGUGCUGAAAUAUCCCGGCUUAACCGGGAGGGUGGCAUUGAUACUGAAGGACUUGAGUAAAGUUGAGGUUGGCGGAAUUGACGGUGUAGCGGUGAAAUGCUUAGAUAUCGUCAAGAACACCGAUAGUGCAGACAGCUCACUAAGCUUUAACUGACGCUGAGGCACGAAAGUGUGGGGAUCAAACAGG
rnacentral:rRNA from 1 species